rnacentral:rRNA from 1 species
CCUGGCUCAGGAUGAACGCUGGCGGCGUGCCUAAUACAUGCAAGUCGAGCGAAUGGAUUAAGAGCUUGCUCUUAUGAAGUUAGCGGCGGACGGGUGAGUAACACGUGGGUAACCUGCCCUAAGACUGGGAUAACUCCGGGAAAACGGGGCUAAUACCGGAUAACAUUUUGAACCGCAUGGUUCGAAAUUGAAAGGCGGCUUCGGCUGUCACUUAUGGAUGGACCCGCGUCGCAUUAGCUAGUUGGUGAGGUAACGGCUCACCAAGGCAACGAUGCGUAGCCGACCUGAGAGGGUGAUCGGCCACACUGGGACUAGACACGGCCCAGACUCCUACGGGAGGCAGCAGUAGGGAAUGUUCCGCAAUGGACGAAAGUCUGACGGAGCAACGCCGCGUGAGUGAUGAAGGCUUUCGGGUCGUAAAACUCUGUUGUUAGGGAAGAACAAGUGCUAGUUGAAUAAGCUGGCACCUUGACGGUACCUAACCAGAAAGCCACGGCUAACUACGUGCCAGCAGCCGCGGUAAUACGUAGGUGGCAAGCGUUAUCCGGAAUUAUUGGGCGUAAAGCGCGCGCAGGUGGUUUCUAAAGUCUGAUGUGAAAGCCCACGGCUCAACCGUGGAGGGUCAUUGGAAACUGGGAGACUUGAGUGCAGAAGAGGAAAGUGGAAUUCCAUGUGUAGCGGUGAAAUGCGUAGAGAUAUGGAGGAACACCAGUGGCGAAGGCGACUUUCUGGUCUGUAACUGACACUGAGGCGCGAAAGCGUCGGGAGCAAACAGGAUUAGAUACCCUGGUAGUCCACGCCGUAAACGAUGAGUGCUAAGUGUUAGAGGGUUUCCGCCCUUUAGUGCUGAAGUUAACGCAUUAAGCACUCCGCCUGGGGAGUACGGCCGCAAGGCUGAAACCAAAGGAAUUGACGGGGGCCCGUACAAGCGGUGGAGCAUGUGGUUUAAUUCGAAGCAACGCGAAGAACCUUACCAGGUCUUGACAUCCUCUGAAAACCCUAGAGAUAGGGCUUCUCCUUCGGGAGCAGAGUGACAGGUGGUGCAUGGUUGUCGUCAGCUCGUGUCGUGAGAUGUUGGGUUAAGUCCCGCAACGAGCGCAACCCAUGAUCUUAGUUGCCAUCAUUAAGUUGGGCACUCUAAGGUGACUGCCGGUGACAAACCGGAGGAAGGUGGG